rnacentral:rRNA from 1 species
GGGACACGUGGUAUCCUGUCUGAAUAUGGGGGGACCAUCCUCCAAGGCUAAAUACUCCUGACUGACCGAUAGUGAACCAGUACCGUGAGGGAAAGGCGAAAAGAACCCCGGCGAGGGGAGUGAAAAAGAACCUGAAACCGUGUACGUACAAGCAGUGGGAGCACCUUCGUGGUGUGACUGCGUACCUUUUGUAUAAUGGGUCAGCGACUUAUAUUCUGUAGCAAGGUUAACCGAAUAGGGGAGCCGAAGGGAAACCGAGUCUUAACUGGGCGUUAAGUUGCAGGGUAUAGACCCGAAACCCGGUGAUCUAGCCAUGGGCAGGUUGAAGGUUGGGUAACACUAACUGGAGGACCGAACCGACUAAUGUUGAAAAAUUAGCGGAUGACUUGUGGCUGGGGGUGAAAGGCCAAUCAAACCGGGAGAUAGCUGGUUCUCCCCGAAAGCUAUUUAGGUAGCGCCUCGUGAAUUCAUCUCCGGGGGUAGA